GGAGGGUUUCUUUUAAAUAGGCCACCCUCCUACCCAUGCCAAAGUUUUCCAUUCAUCACCCUUCCACUCUUCAGUGAAUUGGCUAGUCAAGUGCUGUAUUCUCUUCACCUUAGAUUUCCCGGUCCCAGAGGUGGCUGGUGAAGCCACCCCAUCUUGAACAGGAUCCUGCAAAACAAAAUCAAACCCACGUAUCAAGAACUCUUCUCCUAAUCUCAGAUAGAACGCUGGAACCUUUACAGACCAGGGAGGAUUCCAUGAAUUUCCAUGAGAGCUUCCUUGAUUCAUGACUUUAUGAUAUUCCAUGUACAUGUUGAUGAAUAUACAAUAUUUCCUAAUUGCCACUAUUUUCUCCUGUCUCUUCAUGGGUGAGUACCUGGUGGUGGUGAGUCAGUCAGUGCGAAAAAGAACAUGGCACAUAGUCAAGCAGUCAAUAACUGUUUGUUGAAAGAGUGAACAUGUCAUUAUUUCCAAAGCCUGCCUUGGAGAUAUGGUAAAUUGUACUAUGCCACACUGUCCCUCACCUCCAUCAUAUCCUCAUAGAAGAGGUAGAGAAUGCAGUGUUGCUUGUUGACUUUCUAUCAACCUUUCAUGUCAUGCCAAGAACUCCAACACAACACAAGACAUAGAAGAAAAAUGGGGCAGUGUGUCUUGACUGUCUACGUGAUCCCAGUAAUUCACUGAAAGGAUUUAUGAAGAUAGGAGAUAAUCCACAGCAAUAAUUCUCUUAUUUUAGAGAAGGUAAAACCCAUGUUACAGUGUCCAGAUAUUAUUUCUAACAUUUUCUACAGCACUUGCCAGCAUAAAUAAGAUUAUUGAUAAAAGAAGAAAACUUAGCUAAAUUCUCUCACCUUUCUUAGUUGGAAAACUUUCAUAAAACUCAUCCCAUGUUUCUGGAGCAGGAAGUGUUUUAUUCUUCCUCUGAAAUAGGACACCAAAUUGUCCUUGAGACUUUUUCUACAGAGAUUUCUGAAAGUAGAUGGUAAAGUAGAGGGUUGGGGGUGAAGAAGAAAAAAUGAGAGAGAAAUUUUAGUGAUGUCAGAGCCGUAGUUUUUAGUAUAAUAAACAGUGUGGGAGAAAAGUUUUAAUGACUUUCUAUUUUUAUUCAUCACUGAGAAUUGUUACUACAUGAAAACAAAAGUUUUAUAUAGUUAGUGGUUAUUUUGUGAGCAAUGAUGUAGACUGGAAAGUGAUGCAUUGAAAUUCUGGUUUUGGCAGAGCACCAGCACAUGAAAGAAGGACAUACAUGAAGAAAUCAAUGCACGUCGAUGCCUCUCUACUCUUGGCUUUUUUCAUGAGCUCAGUCAACUUUCAAUACUUGAAUGCCUGUGAAUGUGAUAGUAAAAAAUCCUAAGUGUAUAUUUAGGAUCAUAGUCAAGUGUUGCUAUUCCAUACUCACCAGAUCUCAUGGAUGGGACUAUCCAUUCGAUGAAAGGAAAUCGUAUGUAAGUAGGUG